AAAAGAAACGAAAAGAAAAGAAAAGAAAAGACAAAAAACCAAAUCCCAGCAAUCUGCCUACUUCGAGUUCUAUCGACUACUUAAAAUAAAAUUUCAACUUUAAUUAGCGUCAAGUGGACAAAGUAUUGGAAAGAGAUGCAGCAACAAACACCUCUCCCCCAACCCCCUAAAUAAUAAUAAUAAGAGGGGGGAGAGGGAGGGACAGAAAGAGAAUCCUAACUGUAGCGUUCGCAUCCAUGACUCUAUACAAUAAAAUAUUAUUUCGUCUGAUAAGCAAAGAUAGUCACAAGAAGGAAAGGACAUGCACAAAUUGCCAAGAACUAAAACAGAUAAUAAUAAUAACAACAACAACUUCAACCAUCGCGAAAACCCUUUUCAA
rnacentral:misc_RNA from 1 species